CAGACAGAGCAUGUUUGGAUGAAUCAUUGGCUUCUCCCAAAGGAACAGCCCCUUUCCUCUGUGGCAGGACACUGAAAAAGGCCUCUUUCCAGUCUCUCUUCUCCAGUUGUUGGAAUAGUGGCUUAACAGGGAGUCACAAGGAAAACCAACAUGAGCUUGACCACAGGAGAAGCUACUUCUCUCCAGAACACUACAGCACUGAGAGGCAAUGCGAUGAAAGUGAAAGUGCACACCAGAGAAUCACAUCCCAGCUGGCAUGUCUUGUUUUGGACAUAGAUAAAAGAGCAUUGUCAAGACAGACAACUGCUGGAAGUGCCUAAAUCAAAGAGUCCUGCUUAGUGUAUCAAGAAUGGAAUUUGUUCAAUAAAAAUAAGUGAAAAUGGA